rnacentral:rRNA from 1 species
GCUUCCAAGAGUCAAGUUGUUUGGGAUUGCAGCUUAAAAUGGGAGGUAAAUUUCUCCUAAGGCUAAAUAACGGCGAGAGACCGAUAGCGAACAAGUACCGUGAGGGAAAGAUGAAAAGAACUUUGAAAAGAGAGUUAAACAGUACGUGAAAUUGUUGAAAGGGAAACGAUUGAAGCCAGUCGUACCUGCGGGUAAUCAGCCUUUUGGGCAUGAUUCUGUGGAGCGUGAGGAGUUAAACGCCUUCAUGCCUGCAUAUUCGUGUACUUUGGGUGUACUUGCCUGUGUGGUUAGUUAACAUCAAUUUUGGUUAUCAUAAAAUGGUUGGAGGAAUGUAGCUUCGAUUUCGAUUGAAGUGUUAUAGCCUUCGGCAGAUGUGAUGAUCGGGAUUGAGGAUUGCAACGGAUACCCUUCGGGGCUACCUGCCUGAUCUCUGAUCGUUGCUCUGGUGCCGAAAGCGUGCUUACGGUUAUCAAAGUCGAUGGUUAAUAGGUUAGAAUGGGUUAAAUUCGUUA